CGGCUCAGCCCAGGGCACGCCCAUGCGCAGCACCUCGGUGAGGCCUGCAGGCGGAUGCCCUGUCUUCCCGCCCUCAGAGGAACAUGCUUUCUGUGCCAACCUGGGGCCCGUCCAGAGCAGCAGCAGCAGUGAGGGCCUGGCCAGAGCCCAGGGGCUCAGCAGCGAAGCUUCUGUGGAGAGCAACGAGGACUCGGAUCACGCCUGUAAAAGCUCAGCUAGCAAACAAGCUAAAAGUUACAUGAAGACCAAGAAUCCUGACAGCCAGUGGCCUCCCCGCACUGCACCUGACAGGGAAGGCUUUCUCGAUGAGUCCAGCCCCCAGACUCAGAGGGCCCCUUACUCAGGACCCCAGCACACCGACGCCGCCCCACACAGUGGCAUUCCAGAAGGAGAGAGCAGAAACAGUGGGUGAGAAACAGCCUGACGAUGUCAGUGGAUCAGAAACACGGAUCUUACAUCCAGGGAGCUCGGUGAACUCCAGACAGGUGAACUCGGAGAAGAGCUACGCUUAGACAAGUGAAAAUCAGAAGAUCCGACACUGAGACUCUAGAAUUAGA
rnacentral:sRNA from 1 species